AAAAUUGCUGGCAGUGAUAUCAUACACCUUUAAUCCCAGAACUCCGGAGGUAGGCAGAGUUCGAGGCCAGCCUGGUCUACAGAAUGGUCUACAGAAGCUACACAGAGAAACGCCGUCUUGAAAAAAUAAGAAAGAAAGAAAAAUCCCUCAUAGGAGUGCCCAGUGUCUUGGGCUUUGAUUGAUUCCAGAUGUGGCCACCUUGACAAUGAAGAUUAGCCAUCACAGUCUUCAUUGAGGCCUCACUGCCCUCAAUUCUCCCCAGGGGUUUUGCUCUUUGUGGUGUGUGAGUGGCUUACGAGACAGAUAGACAUCUCUACAGCUAUUCUUUCAAUCAUCAGUGUGGUUACUUUUAUAUUUAUCUACUUAUUAGGUUGUGUGUGUGUGUGUGUGUGUGUGUGUGUUGUAUACAUGUGUGUACAAAUAUGUCUGCAGAGGUGCCUGCCCAUGAAUACAUUGUGGAGGUCAGAAGUCAUGUCUUGAGUCUUCCUCUCGCACUGUCCACUUUGUUUUUUGAGACAGGGUUUCUCACUGAACAUGGAGCCCCCUGUAGCAUGGCUGCCUACCAAGCCCAAAGAACCUCUUGUUUUCAUUUCUCCCUCUGUCACUGGAAUUACAGGGUGUUUGUUUGUUUGUUUGUUUGUUUUUUUAACAUAGGCACCGGGCUUCAUUGUUUGCACAGCAAGGACUUUGUCUAUCUCCUCAGUUUUAAGAACCUAGCAAGACGGGGUUGGGGAUUUAGCUCAGUGGUAGAGCGCUUGCCUGGGAAGCGCAAGGCCCUGGGUUCGGUCCCCAGCUCCGAAAAAAAGAACCAAAAAAAAAAAAAAAAA
rnacentral:lncRNA from 1 species